rnacentral:rRNA from 1 species
GGCGAUCAGAUACCGCCCUAGUUCUAACCGUAAACGAUGACAACCAGCGAUUAAUCGGCGUUAAUAUACGACCCGAUUAGCAGCUUCCGGGAAACCAAAGUUUUUCGUUUCCGGGGGAAGUAUGGUUGCAAAGCUGAAACUUAAAGGAAUUGACGGAAGGGCACCACCAGGAGUGGAGCCUGCGGCUUAAUUUGACUCAACACGGGAAAACUCACCCGGCCCGGACACUGUAAGGAUUGACAGACUGAGAGCUCUUUCUUAAUUCAGUGGGUGGUGGUGCAUGGCCGUUCUUAGUUGGUGGAGCGAUUUGUCUGGUUAAUUCCGAUAACGAACGAGACUCUGGCCUAUUAAAUAGACGAGGUAUUUAAAAGUAUCUCGCGCUUCUUAGAGGGACAAGCGGCGUCUAGUCGCAUGAAAAAGAGCAAUAACAGGUCUGUGAUGCCCUUAGAUGUCCGGGGCUGCACGCGCGCUACACUGAAAGAAUCAGCGUGCAUUUUAACCUAGUCCGGAAGGACCGGGUAACCCGAGUAAAUUCUUUCGUGCUUGGGAUAGGGAAUUGCAAUUAUUUCCCUUAAACGAGGAAUUCCCAGUAAAUGCGGGUCAUAAGCUCGCGUUGAUUACGUCCCUGCCCUUUGUA